GAAACGCGAUAUGUAAUGUGAAUUGCAGAAUUCAGUGAAUCAUCGAAUCUUUGAACGCACAUGGCGCCUUCCAGUAUCCUGGGAGGCAUGCCUGUCCGAGCGUCGUUUCAACCCUCGAGCCCCCGUGGCCCGGCGUUGGGGAUCUGCCACGGCAGGCCCCUAAAACCAGUGGCGGACCCGAAGGCCCUCUCCUUUGCGCAGUAGCAUCAGCCUCGCAUUGGGAUCCCUCGGCGUCCUGCCUCUAAACCCCCCACAAGUCCGCUCCGGCGGCACCAAGGUUGACCUCGGAUCAGGUAGGAAUACCCGCUGAACUUAA
rnacentral:misc_RNA from 1 species